rnacentral:rRNA from 1 species
GAUGAACGCUGGCGGCGUGCCUAAUACAUGCAAGUCGAGCGAACGGACGAGAAGCUUGCUUCUCUGAUGUUAGCGGCGGACGGGUGAGUAACACGUGGAUAACCUACCUAUAAGACUGGGAUAACUUCGGGAAACCGUAGCUAAUACCGGAUAAUAUUUUGAACCGCAUGGUUCAAAAGUGAAAGACGGUCUUGCUGUCACUUAUAGAUGGAUCCGCGCUGCAUUAGCUAGUUGGUAAGGUAACGGCUUACCAAGGCAACGAUGCAUAGCCGACCUGAGAGGGUGGUCGGCCACACUGGAACUGGGACACGGUCCAGACUCCUACGGGAGGCAGCAGUAGGCAAUCUUCCGCAAUGGGCGAAAGCCUGACGGAGCAACGCCGCGUGAGUGAUGAAGGUCUUCGGAUCGUAAAACUCUGUUAUUAGGGAAGAACAGAUGUGUAAGUAACUGUGCACAGCUUGACGGUACCUAAUCAGAAAGCCACGGCUAACUACGUG